GAUGAACGCUGGCGGCGUGCCUAAUACAUGCAAGUCGAGCGAACAGACGAGGCGCUUGCUCCUCUGACGUUAGCGGCGGACGGGUGAGUAACACGUGGAUAACCUACCUAUAAGACUGGGAUAACUUCGGGAAACCGGAGCUAAUACCGGAUAAUAUCUUGAACCGCAUGGUUCAAUAGUGAAAGACGGUUUUGCUGUCACUUAUAGAUGGAUCCGCGCCGCAUUAGCUAGUUGGUAAGGUAACGGCUUACCAAGGCAACGAUGCGUAGCCGACCUGAGAGGGUGAUCGGCCACCCUGGAACUGAGACACGGUCCAGACUCCUACGGGAGGCAGCAGUAGGGAAUCUUCCGCAAUGGGCGAAAGCCUGACGGAGCAACGCCGCGUGAGUGAUGAAGGUCUUCGGAUCGUAAAACUCUGUUAUUAGGGAAGAACAAAUGUGUAAGUAACUAUGCACGGCUUGACGGUACCUAAUCAGAAAGCCACGGCUAACUACGUG
rnacentral:rRNA from 1 species